UACGGUCGCAAGGCUGAAACUUGAAGGAAUUGGCGGGGGAGCACCGCAACGGGAGGAGCGUGCGGUUUAAUUGGAUUCAACGCCGGGAAGCUUACCAGGGGAGACUGCCGUAUGUGGGCCAAGCUAAAGACUUUGCCCGAACAAUAGGCAGAGAGGUGGUGCAUGGCCGUCGUCAGCUCGUACCGUGAGGCGUUCUGUUAAGUCAGGUAACGAGCGAGACCCCCGCUCCUAUUUGCAAUCCAGGAGUCCGCUCCUGGAGCACAAUAGGAGGACCGCCAGCGCUAAGCUGGAGGAAGGAGGGGGCGACGGUAGGUCAGUAUGCCCUGAAUCCCCUGGGCUACACGCGCGCUACAAAGGCUGAGACAAUGGGUUGCGACGCCGAAAGGCGGAGCCAAUCCCUAAACUCAGUCUUAGUUCGGACCGAGGGCUGAAACCUGCCCUCGUGAAGGUGGAUUCCGUAGUAAUCGCAGGUCAAAAUCCUGCGGUGAAUAUGCCCCUGCUCCUUGCACACACCGCCCGUCAAGCCAUGCGAGUUGAAUCUGGGUGAGGGUUUGCUACUUGGCAGACUCGAACCCAGGUUCAGCGAGUGGGGCUAAGUCGUAACAAGGUAUCUGCAGGGGAACCUGCGGAUGGAUCACCUCCUUU
rnacentral:rRNA from 1 species